UAACUUAGAGCUUGAUUAGUUAAGCAUUUCAUUUACACUGAAUUGAUACUC
rnacentral:tRNA from 1 species